GACAGAGGGUGCAAACGUUGUUCGGAAUUACUGGGCGUAAAGUGUGCGCAGGCGGCUUCGCAAGUCGAGUGUGAAAUCCCCGAGCUUAACUUGGGAAUUGCGCUCGAAACUACGGAGCUGGAGUGUGGCAGAGGAAGGUGGAAUUCCACGUGUAGCGGUGAAAUGCGUAGAGAUGUGGAGGAACACCGAUGGCGAAGGCAGCCUUCUGGGCCAACACUGACGCUCAUGCACGAAAGCGUGGGGAGCAAACAGG
rnacentral:rRNA from 1 species